rnacentral:misc_RNA from 1 species
AAGUCGUAACAAGGUUUCCGUAGGUGAACCUGCGGAAGGAUCAUCAUUGAAUGUGUGUGUUGGCCAGGUGUGGACGGACCGGACCGGACGAGGGUUUUUUUUAUUCUCUCGGUCUGUUCGGCCGCGCUCGGUCUUUCAUCCACCAAUAUACGAUACUUUUUGACCGGGGGGGAAGAUGGUCUGUUAUCGGUCUGGGGACGUUCAUGUCCACGGACCGGUUGAAAACACUCUAGCAUAUAUAGCACUGUUGAACAGGAACUUAUUUGACCGGGUUUGGUGUCAUGCCACCCGGUGUAUAAAGCAUGAAAACUUUCGGCAAUGGAUCUCUCGGCUCUCC